rnacentral:rRNA from 1 species
AUUGAACGCUGGCGGCAUGCCUUACACAUGCAAGUCGAACGGUAACAGGUCUUCGGAUGCUGACGAGUGGCGAACGGGUGAGUAAUACAUCGGAACGUGCCCGAGAGUGGGGGAUAACGAAGCGAAAGCUUUGCUAAUACCGCAUACGAUCUCAGGAUGAAAGCAGGGGACCGCAAGGCCUUGCGCUCACGGAGCGGCCGAUGGCAGAUUAGGUAGUUGGUGGGAUAAAAGCUUACCAAGCCGACGAUCUGUAGCUGGUCUGAGAGGACGACCAGCCACACUGGGACUGAGACACGGCCCAGACUCCUACGGGAGGCAGCAGUGGGGAAUUUUGGACAAUGGGCGCAAGCCUGAUCCAGCCAUGCCGCGUGCAGGAUGAAGGCCUUCGGGUUGUAAACUGCUUUUGUACGGAACGAAAAGACUCUGGUUAAUACCUGGGGUCCAUGACGGUACCGUAAGAAUAAGCACCGGCUAACUACGUGCCAGCAGCCGCCGCCG